CAUGUGGGCUCCGAUCCUUUCUUUUUAUUUGCACCUGCUCACACUGCAACUAGUCUUUUCACAUGUUUAUUAAACGUCCAUAUCCAUUGCGUAUCAGAUAUAUAAUGCUAAAGAUAUACUGUUCUUAAGAAGAUACUAUUUCAAUAUAAUAUGCUUUGAAUAUAAAAACCAUGACAUCCCUCCACAGUUUCCAUUAUUAAAAAAUAAUCCUUUUGGUAAAGGUUAUCCUUUCAAGGCAAAGCAAAUCCUUCUUCUCUGUCACG